UCCCCGGUGGCCCAGUGGUUAGGGCUCCGCGCUUCCACUGCAGGGGGCCCGGGUUCGAUCCCCGGUUGGGGAA